rnacentral:rRNA from 1 species
UACGAAGGUGGCAAGCGUUGUUCGGAUUUACUGGGUGUACAGGGAGCGUAGGCGGUUGGAUAAGCCCUCCGUGAAAUCUCCAGGCUUAACCUGGAAAGUGCAGAGGGGACUGUUCAGCUAGAGGAUGGGAGAGGAGCGCGGAAUUCCCGGUGUAGCGGUGAAAUGCGUAGAGAUCGGGAGGAAGGCCGGUGGCGAAGGCGGCGCUCUGGAACAUUUCUGACGCUGAGGCUCGAAAGCGUGGGGAGCAAACAGG